rnacentral:rRNA from 1 species
GACGAACGCUGGCGGCAGGCUUAACACAUGCAAGUCGAACGCAUCCUUCGGGGUGAGUGGCAGACGGGUGAGUAACACGUGGGAACGUACCUUUCGGUUCGGGAUAACCCAGGGAAACUUGGGCUAAUACCGGAUACGUCCUUUAGGGGAGGAAAGAUUGAUUGCCGAAAGAUCGGCCCGCGUCUGAUUAGCUAGUUGGUGGGGUAAUGGCCCACCAAGGCGACGAUCAGUAGCUGGUCUGAGAGGANGAUCAGCCACACUGGGACUGAGACACGGCCCAGACUCCUACGGGAGGCGAGCAGUGGGGAAGUAUUGGACAAUGGGCGGCAAGCCUGAUCCAGCCACGCCGCGUGAGUGAUGAAGGCCUUC